rnacentral:rRNA from 1 species
UACGAAGGGGGCUAGCGUUGUUCGGAAUCACUGGGCGUAAAGGGCGCGUAGGCGGCUUUAUAAGUCGGGGGUGAAAGCCUGUGGCUCAACCACAGAAUUGCCUUCGAUACUGUAGAGCUUGAGACCGGAAGAGGUAAGUGGAAUUCCGAGUGUAGAGGUGAAAUUCGUAGAUAUUCGGAAGAACACCAGUGGCGAAGGCGACUUACUGGACGAUUGUUGACGCUGAGGUGCGAAAGCGUGGGGAGCAAACAGG